AGGACGAACGCUGGCGGCGUGCUUAACACAUGCAAGUCGAGCGGAAAGGCCCUUCGGGGUACUCGAGCGGCGAACGGGUGAGUAACACGUGAGUAAUCUGCCCCUAGCUCUGGGAUAGCUCCGGGAAACCGGGAUUAAUACCAGAUACGACCACUUUAGACAUCUGCUGUGGUGGAAAGAAUUUCGGCUAGGGAUGAGCUCGCGGCCUAUCAGCUUGUUGGUGAGGUAACGGCUCACCAAGGCGACGACGGGUAGCCGGCCUGAGAGGGCGACCGGCCACACUGGGACUGAGACACGGCCCAGACUCCUACGGGAGGCAGCAGUGGGGAAUAUUGCGCAAUGGGCGAAAGCCUGACGCAGCGACGCCGCGUGGGGAUGAAGGCCUUCGGUUGUAAACCCUUUCAGCAGGACGAAGCGAAAGUGACGGUACCUGCAGAAGAAGCGCCGGCUAACUACGUGCCAGCAGCCGC
rnacentral:rRNA from 1 species